GGAAGUAAAAGUCGCAACAAGGUUUCCGUAGGUGAACCUGCGGAAGGAUCAUUAUUGUAUAACCGAGGUGCGAGGGCUGUCGCUGACCCGAAAGGUCGUGCACGCCCGAGUGCCCUCACACACAUCCAUCUCACCCCUAUGUGCACCACCGCGUGGGUCCCCCUUUGGCUUGUUCGGAGGGGGGCUUACGUUUUCACACAAGCUUUGUAUGCAGUGUAGAAUGUAUUUUUUGUUUUUGCGAUCACGCAAUCAAUACAACUUUCAACAACGGAUCUCUUGGCUCUC
rnacentral:misc_RNA from 1 species